GGUUGCUAUGGGCAACUGGACAACUUUUCCUCUAGGCAGGUUUUGAUAAAUCUCCCCUAGUGUCCCUAAUGGAGCCGCCCUUACUUGGUGUCCAAAAGAGCAGCUAACCCUGGCACAGGAAGGUGUGAACACAACCAAUGACAUGGAUAAAAGAUGCAGAGCUCCAGCACUCAAGGUGAAACCAGCUAUUAAUACCUCGGCAAUAUUUUGAACAGCAGCAGCCCCCAGCACUGGUCCCAUGUGGAAUAGAGAAUACUGGACGCCAGACUUCCUGCCUGGUCACUCCUUCUAGCGACUUGGAGUAACCUGGACUCACGGACUAAAUCGAACAACUUUGCCCUAGCAGACCCCCUCUUCCAUGGAAUUGGACCCUCUCCCUGGACCCACUAAGCUCAGUGACUCUGGGGGGAUAUUGGACUGUCUAUCAGGGGGAGCAUGAACACGCUAACGAUUUUUUAGUUGCAUAUUAGUAUGCUAUAUCUGGUGAUGGAUACUGCUAGAUCAGGCUGUGAUAUCCUCUGCUCAAAGAGCUGUGUGGGACUACGAAUCCUCACCCUUGUAUGUUGUAAAUAAUUGGAUGUAAAUUACUGGGUGGGUGGGGCCUAUGGUGCAUAAAGUCGCUAAGAUAAUAAGUGGCACCCUGGUGGCGGUACGUACACCUCAUAAAUAUAAAGCGAAGAGAUAAAGCAGGAGAAAUAGCCCCCAAGGUGAACCCCAGAAGAUCAGGGGGUAGCUCGCCACAAAAAGAUAAGGGGGCUAUGGGUAAACUGGAUAAAAUAUGGAAGUCUCCAGUUGUGGGUAUUAAAACGAGAACCCAGAAGGAUCUCUCCCCUAGUAAAACCGGCUCUAGGUACUCGGUACUGGAGGUGGAAGAAACUGAGGAUAGGCAGACUGUGCCCUCUAUGGGAACUCAGAUGUUGGAGGAAAUCUUGGGAGGGGUAAAAAAAAAUCUAACUGUGCAAUUGAGGAGAUAAAUAAACAACUGGGUGUGGUAUCUACUGAGGUAUCUCUGAUAAGACACGAUAUGACUAAGAUGAGAGAUAGGAUUUCCAGAUUGGAGGAAGAAGCCCCUAAAACAGAAAAUAGGAUUAAGGUUCUGGAGGAGGAGGUUAAUGAUUUGAAAAUGAUUAUCAAAGAUAAGCUCACUGACCUUGAAGAUAGAUCUAGACGUUGUAAUAUAAGGAUGGUGGGGUUUCCUGAAGGGGCGGAGGGGGGGGGGGGGGACUCUGCUAUCCAGUUUCUCACAGGCUGAAGGACGUGAUAGGUGAAGGGCAUUUUACCCCAAUGUUUGGGAUUGAACGAGCUCAUCGGGUACCAAGGCGGAUACCUCCUCUGGGGGGCUCCCCUAGGACAAUCCUAAUCAAGUUAUAUACCUCCCAGGAUAGGGACACGAUCCUUAGGAGGGCAAGAGAGGUGAGGGACCUACAGUACAAUGGGCAGAAUAUUUUUGUAUAUCCGGAUUUCUCCUGGGAGACCCAGAGGAAAAGGGCAUCCUUUCGGGAGAUAAAAAGGCGAAUAAAGAAUGCGGGGGUCCCCUUUUCUCUUCUGUUUCCAACGAGACUCCGGGUAGAGCAUAAGGGAAACGUAAUAAUAUUCGGAACCUCACAGGAGGUCUCAGAUUGGAUGGAUAAAGAAGGCAUGUAGUAUAGGAUAUUAUUGCGGCACUAGGGGUUAGAAGUAUUAGUUGAGUACUAA